GAUGAACGCUGGCGGCGUGCCUAAUACAUGCAAGUCGAGCGGAGCGGGGACGGGUGAGUAACACGUGGAUAACCUCCUAUAAGACUGGGAAACCUUCGGGAAACCGGAGCUAAACCCGUAACUUAUAGAUGGAUCCGCGCUGCAUUAGCUAGUUGGUAAGGUAACGGCUUACAAAGGCGACGAUGCAUAGCCGACUGGAGAGGGUGACCGGCCACACUGGAACUGAGACACGGUCCAGACUCCUACGGGAGGCAGCAGUGGGGAAUCUUCCGCAAUGGGCGAAAGCCUGACGGAGCCAUGCCGCGUGGGUGAUGAAGGCCUUCGGAUCGUAAAGCUCUUUUAUCGGGGAAGCGGUACCUGCACAAGAAGCCACGGCUAACUACGUGCCAGCAGCCGCGGUAAUUC
rnacentral:rRNA from 1 species